CAUGUGAUGAAAAUAAAUUUGGUCCGUGUUUAUGAUUUUUUUGAUUAAAACUAUUUUCCAUUUGAACUGACUUUU
rnacentral:snoRNA from 1 species